UACGUAGGGUGCGAGCGUUGUCCGGAAUUAUUGGGCGUAAAGGGCUCGUAGGCGGUUUGUCGCGUCGGGAGUGAAAUCCACUGGCUUAACUGGUGGCUUGCUUUCGAUACGGGCAGACUGGAGGCAUGCAGGGGAGAACGGAAUUCCUGGUGUAGCGGUGAAAUGCGCAGAUAUCAGGAGGAACACCGGUGGCGAAGGCGGUUCUCUGGGCAUGUCCCGACGCUGAGGAGCGAAAGCGUGGGGAGCGAACAGG
rnacentral:rRNA from 1 species